rnacentral:tRNA from 1 species
GCCGCGAUGGUGGAAUUGGUAGACACGCUGGUCUUAGGAACCAGUGCCUUCGGGCGUCAGGGUUCGAGUCCCUGUUGCGGCACAA